rnacentral:rRNA from 1 species
GUUCGAUUCUGGCUCAAGAUUGAACGCUGGCGGAUCACCCCGCCAUGCAAGUCGACGGCACUUCACGGACUUCGGUCCCCGGUGGCGAGUGGCGAGAACGGGUGAGUAAUGUAUCCGGAACGUGCCUAGUGGCGGGGGAUAACUACGCGAAAGCGUAGCUAAUACCGCAUACGCCCUUCGAGGAAAGCAAGGACCUUCCCGGGCCUCGCACUAUUAAACGACUGAUAUCGGAUUAGCUAGUUGGUGGGGAUAACGACCGCAAGGCGACAAUCCGUAGCUGGUUUGAGGACGACCAGCCACACUGGGACCAGAGACACGGCCCAGACUCCUACGGGGAGAGCAGCAGUGGGGAAUUUUGGACAAUGGGAAGCCUGAUCCAGCCAUCCCGCGUGUGCGAUGAAGGCCUUCGGGGUUGCCGGCACUUUUGGCAGGAAAGAAACGGCACGGGAUAAUACCCCGUGCAACUGACGACUACCUGCCAGAAUAAGCACCGGCUAACUACGUGCCAGCAGCCGCGGUAAUACGUAGGGUGCAAGCGUUAAUCGGAAUUACUGGGCGCUCAACGUGCGCAACCGUUCAGAAAGAAAAGAUGUAAAUCCCAAACGCUUUGGAACUGCAUUUUUAACUACCGAGCUAGAGUGUGUCAGAGGGAGGUGGAAUUCCACGUGUAGCAGUGAAAUGCGUAGAUAUGCGGAGGAACACCGAUGGCGAAGGCAAUAUCCUGGGAUAACACACUGACGCUCAUGCACGAAAGCGUGGGAGCAAACAGGAUUAGAUGCCACCUGUUGAUCACGCCCUAACGAAAUCAACUAGCUGUUGGGGCCUUCGGGCCUUGGUAGCGCAGCUAACGCGUAGUUGACCGCACAGGAUACAGUGCGAGAUUAGCUCGAGAAUUGACUGGGGCCCGCUGGCAGUGGAUGAUGUGGUUGUUCGAUGCAGCGCGAAAACCUUACCUACCCUUGACAUGUCUGGAAUCCCGAAGAGAUUUGGGAGUGCUCGCAAGAGAACCGGAACACAGGUGCUGCAUGGCUGUCGUCAGCUCGUGUCGGCGUGAGAUAUUGGGACAAAGUCCCGCAACAGGCGCAACCCUUGUCAUUGGACUACUUGCUACGAGGGCACUCUAAUGAGACUGCCGGUGACAAACCGGAGGAAGGUGGAUGACGUCAAGUCCUCGUGGCCCAUAUGGGUAGGGCCACACGUCAUACAAUGGUCGCGGGACAGAGGGUCGCCAACCCGCGAGGAAGACAAUCCCAGAAACCCGAUCAUAGUCCGGGUCGAUCACAACUCGACUGCGUGAAGUCAGAAUCGCUGGCGUACUUGGAUCAAUAGCCUUGGUGAAUACGUUCCGGGUCUUGUACACACCGCCCGUCACACCAUGGAGUGGGUUUUACCAAGUAGUUAGCCUAACCGUAAGGAGGGCGAUUACCACGGUGAUUCAUGGCUAGGGGUGAAGUCGUAACUAAUUGG